GGAAGUAAAAGCGUAACAAGGUUUCCGUAGGUGAACCUGCGGAAGGAUCAUUAACACAGCUUUACCCAAUCUUUUAUCACACACCCCAAAAGCGAACGAUUGUUUGGAGAUCGAGUUUCGACUCUUUUUCCGCAUUUUUUUUCUCUUCCUUUUUUCACAAACCCCAAUUUAACACUUCCGACUGAAACUAAAACAAAAAACAAAACUAAGAAACAACUCUUAGCAACGGAUAUCUUGGCUCUC
rnacentral:misc_RNA from 1 species